GAUGAACGCUGGCGGCGUGCCUAAUACAUGCAAGUCGAGCGAACGGACGAGAAGCUUGCUUCUCUGAUGUUAGCGGCGGACGGGUGAGUAACACGUGGAUAACCUACCUAUAAGACUGGGAUAACUUCGGGAAACCGUAGCUAAUACCGGAUAAUAUUUUGAACCGCAUGGUUCAAAAGUGAAAGACGGUCUUGCUGUCACUUAUAGAUGGAUCCGCGCUGCAUUAGCUAGUUGGUAAGGUAACGGCUUACCAAGGCAACGAUGCAUAGCCGACCUGAGAGGGUGAUCGGCCACACUGGAACUGAGACACGGUCCAGACUCCUACGGGAGGCAGCAGUAGGGAAUCUUCCGCAAUGGGCGAAAGCCUGGCGGAGCAACGCCGCGUGAGUGAUGAAGGUCUUCGGAUCGUAAAACUCUGUUAUUAGGGAAGAACAUAUGUGUAAGUAACUGUGCACAUCUUGGCGGUACCUAAUCAGAAAGCCACGGCUAACUACGUG
rnacentral:rRNA from 1 species